rnacentral:rRNA from 1 species
CCUACGGGGGGCAGCAGUGAGGAAUAUUGGUCAAUGGGCGAGAGCCUGAACCAGCCAAGUCGCGUGAGGGAGUACUGCCCUAUGGGUUGUAAACCUCUUUUGUCGGGGAGCAAAAGCCGGACGUGUCCGGCUGUGAGAGUACCCGAAAAAAAAGCAUCGGCUAACUCCGUGCCAGCAGCCGCGGUAAUACGGAGGAUGCGAGCGUUAUCCGGAUUUAUUGGGUUAAAGGGGUGCGCAGGCGGAUUUUUAAGUCAGCGGUAAAAUCGUGGGGCUCAACCCCAUCCAGCCGUUGAAACUGGGGAUCUAGAGUGUGCGAGAGGUAUGCGGAAUGCGUGGUGUAGCGGUGAAAUGCAUAGAUAUCACGCAGAACCCCGAUUGCGAAGGCAGCAUACCGGUGCACAACUGACGCUCAGGCACGAAAGCGUGGGUAUCGAACAGGAUUAGAUACCCUUGUAGUC